AAAGGGUGUUUCGCCUGAUAGCUUUAUUCCACUAAACUAUCCUGCAAGGAUGUCUGUUCUGUCAUCCAAGUCUGGAAUGCUAUUUCAUACCUGAACCCAAACAAUGAGCCUUUAGAUUCAUGAAAGAAAAGGAAUUGCUGUUAGCCCCCAUUACCAAGCUUCCCACCAAUCAUGUGACCCAUCCCAUGCUGUUUUUUGUCUGCACUCCCAACUUCAUGUCUAACAGUUUUCCCUAUACAUUUGUUUGUUCUUUGCUAUCUUUCUCUUCUGAAAUUUGACCUGUGUUACAAUGAUAAUAAAACUUUUGCUUCUUGACUUAGAAAUUACCUAAAGCUUCCAAAUUAUUUUGGGACACCUGUGAAACCCUUUCAGAAUCCCUAUAUUCUGGGGAGCCUCUGCAACCCAACACUCUCCCCUCUAUUUCCUCUUCUUUCUCCUCUAUUUUUUCUCGUUCUCUCCUUUCUCCCUUCAUUUUUUCUCUUCUUCCCUUCCCUUUUUUCUCCCUACUCAUUCCCUGCUCACUCUCUUUAUUUCUUUUCUAUUCUCUCCUCUAUUUCCUCUCUCGUCAAUUUCCCUCCUUCCAUUUCCUCUAUAUUCUAGCUGUCCCUUCGAUUUCCUCUCCAGCCUCCUUUCCUUUCCUCCCUCCCCGCUCGUUUUUCGCGCUGCCUCCUCCCCUAUCCACCCGGGACGCCUGCGCAGGCGCAGUGGCGGGACUGCGGCGCCCCCUGGCGGCCGAGGGGCGGGGGCGCGGCGGGGCCGCCUCCCUCGCUCGUUCGCUCGCUCCCUCCCUCGCUCGCUCGUUCGCUCGCUCGCUGCCUCCUUCCUCGCGCCUCGGCCCAACAUGGCGAUGCACAACAAGGCGGCGCCGCCGCAGAUCCCGGACACCCGGCGGGAGCUGGCCGAGCUGGUGAAGCGCAAGCAGGAGCUGGCGGAGACGCUGGCAAACUUGGAGAGACAAAUCUAUGCUUUUGAAGGGAGCUACCUAGAAGACACCCAGAUGUAUGGCAAUAUUAUUCGGGGCUGGGACCGCUAUCUGACAAAUCAAAAAAACUCUAAUAGCAAAAAUGAUCGUAGGAACCGAAAAUUUAAGGAAGCUGAACGACUCUUCAGUAAAUCCUCAGUUACUUCAGCAGCGGCCGUCAGUGCAUUGGCUGGAGUUCAAGACCAACUCAUUGAAAAAAGGGAACCAGGCAGUGGUACAGAGAGUGACACAUCUCCAGACUUUCACAAUCAGGAGAAUGAACCUAGCCAAGAGGACACAGAAGAUCUGGAUGGAUCUGUGCAGGGGGUGAAACCCCAGAAAGCUGCUUCCUCCACCUCUUCAGGGAGUCAUCACAGCAGCCAUAAAAAGAGGAAGAAUAAAAACCGACACAGCCCGUCUGGCAUGUUUGAUUAUGACUUUGAGUAUGUAUAUUAGGUUAGGCUGGGAAGUUUUUUUAAAAAACAGAAAAACGUGAUGGAGGAUUGAUCUGAAGCUAAACAAAAAGCCAAGAGCCGAUUAUUAGAAGACCCAUUAGUACAGAAGCUUACAGGCUGUAGAGCCCUGCCCUCACACAACUUCACCAAGAUAAACACCCCUCCACUGAGUGGCCAUUAAUGUCUGCGCUCCCAGACCCAGUGCCUGCAUUGAGGAGUAGUUUGUUCUAAAGAGGGGUGAAAGAAAAUCCUUUCUGUAAAACCACAUCAGACCAUUUACCUCGUGUCAUUUUUAGUAACUGAACUGCAGGAAGACCAAGGCAUGGUGCAGUCCUAGGUUGCCUACUUUCUGCAUUUCUCCAUUCUUGGGAUUGAGUACUUCCCAACACUGGCUGCUCUGGUCCUGGCUGCAUCAGAUUCAUCUGUGAUACCCAUGGAAAGAUGUCUUGGGAUUUUUUUUUUGAUGCCGAAACCAGCACCCAGUUGUGUUUUGUCAUAUGGAGGCUGUAAAUAUCAGGCAUUUCCUUACUCUGCCUUAUGUGUUGUUUGUUGUUACUGUCUUGUUUUCUUUGAGGGGUUUGUUGUAAUACAGUUGUACAGCUUAUGGCUUCCUGCUGUUUUCUUUGGAAUCUGAUUAUCUUUACUUGGCUUAGGGGCUGAUAUCCUAACACAAAUAAUCUCUAGUAGCAUAAAUAAAAUGGAUGACUUGUCCUAUUUGUCUUUUUGCAGGGGGAAGGUAGAGGGUUAUUUAAUUUUUUCCCAUCUGAGUUGGAAGCAAUUUUCAUGUACAGGCAAAUGGCAAUAGCUAAAAACCAUAAGUUUGAAUCCUUUUAAAAACAUAAGUUUUUAUUAUUUUGUAUAAAAAAUAAAAUUUCACAGGCUUCA